rnacentral:rRNA from 1 species
UACGUAGGGUGCGAGCGUUGUCCGGAAUUAUUGGGCGUAAAGGGCUCGUAGGCGGUCUGUUGCGUCGGGAGCGAAAACUCAGGGCUUAACCCUGAGCCUGCUUCCGAUACGGGCAGACUAGAGGUAUGCAGGGGAGAACGGAAUUCCUGGUGUAGCGGUGAAAUGCGUAGAUAUCAGUCGGAACACCGGUGGCGAAGGCGGCUUCUUGGGCCGUUUCUGACGCUGAGGCGCGAAAGCCAGGGGAGCGAACGGG